rnacentral:lncRNA from 1 species
UUGAGUGAAUCCGGUUCGGAUUUGUUGAUUUUGUGGUGGUUGGGGCUGUUUUGGAGCAGAUCCGGUUUGGAUCUGUUGAUUUUGGUGAUGAAGUGUUCUUGGUGUUCUUCCUCUUUUUCUCAGCUUUUUUCUGUUUUGAUUCUGUUAUGGAUGAGAGAGAGAAAAAGAUUCUGUUUUGGGAGUGAUUGUGAUUGAUUCUGAUUUUUCUGACUUCUUGUGAUGGAUCUGACACAUUUACUAUUUAUAGCCUGCCAUGUGUAUUGGAGACCCAAUGGAAAAUUGACACCUGGACUGUUUUGGACUUAAGGACUAAUCUGCAAAAAAGUUAAUAUGAGGACUAAUGU